UACGGAGGGGGCUAGCGUUGUUCGGAAUUACUGGGCGUAAAGCGCGCGUAGGUGGCGUUGUAAGUUAGAGGUGAAAGCCCGGGGCUCAACUCCGGAAUUGCCUUUAAGACUGCAUCGCUAGAAUUGUGGAGAGGUAAGUGGAAUUCCGAGUGUAGAGGUGAAAUUCGUAGAUAUUCGGAAGAACACCAGUGGCGAAGGCGACUUACUGGACACAUAUUGACGCUGAGGUGCGAAAGCGUGGGGAGCAAACAGG
rnacentral:rRNA from 1 species